UUAACUUGGCACUAGUUGUUGUAGUGUUUGGCUUUGGUGAGGCCAGUGUGUGUUGGUCGUCGGGUAGCGUAGGGUGGGCUCUUAAGGAGAGAGCGAGGUUUUUCAUGCAGGAGCUGUCUGACGCUGGAGUGUUGUUGUGGAAGUGUUCACGUUGGCGUUGUCUGAUGUUGGAGCAUUCUUGCAGGACGAGCGGAUUCCUUUGUGAAGGCUGGUCCAGGAGGUGGCGUAGAGCGAGUAGGGAAGCAGUUUAGUGUGAGAGGACGAACCGUGGAUGGUUUGAAGGUAGAUGUUGGACAGUUGUUGUUUGGACAGGUACAAGUUUGGUGUAGCGUAGGGAGCGAAGUUGACUUUGCCUGUGUGGUGCAAUUGGAUGGGUGUGGAGAGCUAAUGCGAAGCGGGCUUCUGCAAGUGACCCUAAAGCUGAAGCUCCAGCCGGCAGCUGUAGGCAAGUUCGCGCUGCCUGGACGGGCGGAAGAGGGCCGUGCACGGCUAGUGGAGUGAAGCACAGCAAGCUUGCAGCUCCGCAAACCACAGCUCGCAAAGAAGAAAGCAAGGCAGAAGAGGACGGCGCUGGACCUGCGAGUCAAGAGGGAGGAGGAAGAUGGGCCGGCGGAGCCAGGGAGGAGGGAACAUCCCUUUGGGCACAGGCACCUCCCUGUAAUCAGGGCUCAGGUGGGGCACGAGCAUCCCUGGCCCUUGUGGGCCUCCUGCUUCCCUGGAGCUGAGCAGCCGCCCCGUAAGCGGGGCUGGGGUGCCUGCUCUUCUGGCCUUUGGCCACCAGGCUCCGCUGGCUGGCUGGCUGGCUGUUUGGCUGCCUUGUGUGCUGCUGAGAGAGUGUGUUUGCUGAUGCUCGUGCAUUUUGGGGGAGCCGUUUUGUGCCAGCAGCCCCUCGAGCUCCCUGUAGCCAGGGCUGAGGACCCAGGGCCCUGGUGCCCCGCUGCUGGCCCCCUGGAAGCGGGCUUUGUGCCGCAAGGCUCUCCUGGAUGGGAGCUGCGGAGCCUUUGGAGCCCCCGAGCCGACCCUGCUGUGAGGGUUUGGCGCUCUGCCUGGCGGCUUCAUGCCGUGUUGGCCAGCCAGCCAGCCUGGCAGCCCCGUCAUCGGGGUGCAUGCCGUGGGGCGCCACUGCUCCCCAGAGAGAGGCGGGGUGCCCUUUGCUGGACGGAGCCGCGGGGACAGCCCUGUAAGUUGGGGUGAGGAAAGUCCCCUGCUUUGCCCUUGGGGCUGUUGUAGCAAGCGGGCCAGGAGGAGAACCCUCUAAGGAGGGCAGAAGCUUUUUCCUGGGGCUGCUCCCUCCCUUCCACCCCUAGAAACUGUGCCCAGAGGCCCAGACCUCCGCGGCCAAGGUGGCGUCCGCCGGCCCGAGCCAGGGCUUCAGCCGCGGCUGCUGAGCAGCUCGCAAAGAAGAAAGCAAGGCAGAAGAGGACGGC